UACGUAGGGACCAAGCGUUGUUCGGAUUUACUGGGCGUAAAGGGCGCGUAGGCGGCAAUUCAAGUCAGCUGUGAAAUCUCCGGGCUUAACUCGGAACGGUCAGCUGAUACUGCUUUGCUAGAGUGCAGAAGGGGCAAUCGGAAUUCUCGGUGUAGCGGUGAAAUGCGUAGAUAUCGAGAGGAACACCUGCGGCGAAGGCGGGUUGCUGGGCUGACACUGACGCUGAUGCGCGAAAGCCAGGGGAGCGAACGGG
rnacentral:rRNA from 1 species